UUGAGUGGCGAACGGGUGAGUAACACGUGGGCAACCUGCCCAAAAGAGGGGGAUAACACUUGGAAACAGGUGCUAAUACCGCAUAACCAUAGUUACCGCAUGGUAACUAUGUAAAAGGUGGCUAUACUACCGCUUUUGGAUGGGCCCGCGGCGCAUUAGCUAGUUGGUAGGGUAAAGGCUUACCAAGGCAAUGAUGCGUAGCCGAAUUGAGAGGUUGAUCGGCCACAUUGGGACUGAGACACGGCCCAAACUCCUACGGGAGGCAGCAG
rnacentral:rRNA from 1 species